rnacentral:rRNA from 1 species
UUACCGAGUGCGGGUUCGAACGAGCCCAACCUCCCACCCGUGUUUACUGUUACCGCGUUGCCUCGGCGGGCCCACUGGGGCCUGGCCCCGGUCGCCGGGGGGCUUCUGCCCCCGGGCCCGCGCCCGCCGAAGCACCCUAGAACCCUGCCUGAACAGUGAGUCUGAGUGAGAUUUUAAAUCAUUAAAACUUUCAACAACGGAUCUCUUGGUUCCGGCAUCGAUGAAGAACGCAGCGAAAUGCGAUAAGUAAUGUGAAUUGCAGAAUUCCGUGAAUCAUCGAAUCUUUGAACGCACAUUGCGCCCCCUGGCAUUCCGGGGGGCAUGCCUGUCCGAGCGUCAUUUCUGCCCUCCAGCACGGCUGGGUGUUGGGCGCUGUCCCCCCGGGGACACGCCCCAAAAGCAGUGGCGGCGCCGCGUCGGGUCCUCGAGCGUAUGGGGCUCUGUCACCCGCUCGGGAGGGACUCGGUCGGCGCCGGUCUUCCCUUUAGGCCGCCCUUCGGGGUGCGCCUCUUCCGGUUGACCUCGGAUCAGGUAGGGCUACCCGCUGAACUUAAGCAUAUCAAUAAGCGGAGGAAAAGAAACCAACAGGGAUUGCCUCAGUAACGGCGAGUGAAGCGGCAAGAGCUCAAAUUUGAAAUCUGGCUCCUUCGGGGCCCGAGUUGUAAUUUGGAGAGGAUGCUUCGGGCGUGGCCCCUAUCUAAGUGCCCUGGAACGGGCCGUC